UAGUCCAUAUUUAAUUCGAUUUUUUAGUGAUAAGCUCUCAAAAGAAAAAAUUUUUGGAAACUAGCGAGAGUGAAGGAGAAGAUAAUAGUGUGAUAAGCUCUCAAAAGAGAAAAAAUUUGAAAACUAGCAAGAGAGAAGGAGAAGAUAAUAGUGGUAAAAAUAAUAAUGAUGGAAAGGAGGCAGAACUCUUUAAAUCUGCAACAGCCUAUAAUGAUUUUGAUAAUAAUCGUUUUUACACACAGUGGAACAAAAAGCAAACCAAUGAUCUUUUGGAAUGGUUUGCCUCUUUUUUAAAUGACAAAGAACGUGAAUGGCCAGGUAACUUAAAUCUUAAUUGC
rnacentral:lncRNA from 1 species